AGGUGCAGAUUGUAUAAGAUGGGAAAUGGACAACUCCAACCAUUCCAAACCAGUUCAAGGGGCCAUGGAAACAAAAGGUACACCAUGAACUAUCUCAUGGCAAUAUGACUAGAAUAUCAAGAACCUGAACAACAAGGGCAAAGUGGAAGGCACCUCUGGUUGACAACCCAGAUGCUCAAGUGUGAAGUGUGAAGCAAGAGUGAAGCCGUGAAGUGUGAAGCCGUCAAGUUCUACUUAGUAAAGAGUAGCAUAUAUGUGUUGUAAAGAUUGUAAUAGAUUUAUUUAGUGGUAUAUUUGAUGAAAUUUAUGUGUUCUUUUUGAUUAUGUAUGUGAUCUGAAAACUUGUGAAAUGGAAACUUGACCAAUGGGUCCACU